GGGAAGUCACGUGACAGACAUGAGGAGUUGACUGACUGAUAUACUCGGACGCCGCCGGAGAAGAUGGCCUGCCCACUGCUCAGUCCACUGCCCAGCACGGAUCUCAUCUCACCAGCUGCCCGCGCAUCCAAUUCCUCUCGCUGGACGGCUGCAGCACAUCAUCAGGUGAGACCGUGAGAGGGAAUGGGAUCAACAACAAUGUCCCCUCCAUCUUUUCCCGUCGUCCUCCUGCUCCUCCUCCUCGCCACCAUAGCCGCAGCCGCCGGAAGCAACAUGGAUGAGGAGGUGGUGGACGACCUCCAGUAUCUUAUUGACAACUCCGACGACAUCCCCACCAACGAUCCCGACGGGUGGCCUGAGGGAGACUACGACGACGACGACCUUCUCUUCCAAGAUCAGGACCAGGACCUCACAGGCCACCAGCCGGAGAUCGACGAGACCCACGUCGUGGUCCUCGCCGCCGCAAACUUUUCCUCCUUCCUCGCCUCCAGCCACCAUGUUAUGGUUGAGUUCUACGCACCUUGGUGUGGCCACUGCCAGGAGCUCGCCCCGGAUUACGCCGCCGCCGCCGCGCAUCUCGCCGCUCACCACCACCAGGCCCACCUCGCCCUUGCCAAGGUCGACGCCACCGAGGAAACCGACCUCGCCCAGAAGUACGACGUCCAGGGCUUCCCCACCAUCCUCUUCUUCAUCGAUGGCGUCCCCAGAGGCUAUAACGGAGCCAGGACCAAGGAAGCCAUCGUCGACUGGAUCAACAAGAAGCUCGGCCCAGCCGUGCAAAAUGUCACCAGCGUCGACGAGGCCCAGAGCAUACUCACCGGAGAUGACAAAGCCGUCCUUGCCUUCCUCGACACACUAUCCGGUGCUCACAGUGAUGAGCUUGCUGCUGCUUCGAGGCUGGAAGAUAGCAUCAACUUUUAUCAGACUUCGACUCCUGAUGUUGCUAAGCUUUUCCAUAUCGAUGCAGCAGCGAAGCGUCCAUCCGUAGUGCUGCUGAAGAAAGAGGAGGAGAAGUUGACCUUCUAUGAUGGGGAGUUUAAAGCAUCAGCCAUUGCUGGUUUUGUGUCUGCUAACAAGCUUCCUUUGGUGACCACACUAACUCAAGAAACUUCCCCUUCUAUUUUUGGCAAUCCAAUCAAGAAGCAGAUUUUACUAUUUGCUGUUGCAAGCGAGUCCACCAAAUUUCUGCCCAUCUUUAAGGAAGCAGCAAAACCAUUUAAGGGAAAGUUAUUAUUUGUCUUUGUGGAACGAGACAGUGAGGAAGUUGGUGAACCAGUUGCCGACUACUUUGGUAUUACUGGACAAGAGACCACAGUUCUUGCUUACACUGGUAAUGAAGAUGCUAGGAAAUUUUUUCUUGAUGGUGAGGUGUCACUUGAAGCUAUAAAGGACUUCGCUGAAGGUUUCUUGGAAGACAAGCUUACACCAUUCUACAAAUCGGAACCAGUGCCUGAAUCUAAUGAUGGGGAUGUGAAAAUUGUUGUUGGGAAGAAUCUGGAUCUAAUAGUUUUUGAUGAAACAAAAGAUGUACUUCUUGAGAUAUAUGCACCAUGGUGUGGUCAUUGUCAAUCGCUGGAACCUACUUACAACAAUCUAGCCAAGCAUCUACGUAGUGUUGACUCCCUUGUGGUAGCCAAAAUGGAUGGUACUACCAAUGAGCAUCCACGUGCAAAGGUUUGUAUCACUACCUUUGAAGUCUGACGGAUACCCGACGAUUCUCUUCUAUCCAGCUGGGAAGAAAAGCUUUGAGCCAAUCACUUUUGAGGGGGAGCGGACAGUGGUAGAUCUGUACAAGUUCAUCAAGAAACAUGCUAGCAUCCCUUUCAAGUUGAAGCGCCAGGAGUCGAGAACCGAGAGCACUCGGGCGGAGGGUGUGAAGAGCUCUGGUACGAACUCAAAGGACGAACUGUAAAGAGCUCAGGGUUGGAUGUGUGUUGGAGUGGAUCAGGGUGAAAGUUUCCAUCUCAAUACAAGUAGAUCGAUCUUGGUGGAUGCGAGUGCAGUGUUGGCCUGAGGGAGGAGCAGCAGAGAUGAGUGCUUACUGCUUAGAGAGAGGAAUGAAAUCAGCAACUAAUCAAAUAAAAUCAAAUUCCAUUAUUCCUUUUA